ACCGAAUUGGUGUAGGGGUUAACAUUCAGGAUUCUCAGUUCUACACGGAAAUUCCUGAGCCAGGAGUUCGAGUCUCCUAUUCGGUG
rnacentral:tRNA from 1 species